CCGAUCCAGCAGAGAUUGGCAUCAGGCUUCUCAGCUUCUGCUUGCAAAGGUGCCUAGGAGAAUUAGAGUUUGUGCUCUGUUUUCCAGAGGAACUUAUGUCCAACCUGAUUGAAAGACAUCAGGACACUGCCUGCCCUCAGAGAUUUGUGGAUCCUAACCCUGCAGAUGGAUGGAUCGACCCAGGGCUGGCGAAUGGAAGGGAAAACAAUGCACCGGGCAAGGGGAUGGGAGAGCACGCAGACCAGCAACCGCAGCUCCGCGUCAGAGUUUGGUGCGAGGGAAACGAGCAAAUGGUGUCACGGCUGUGGGGGGCAGAGAGCCUCGAGAGGUUUCUGCACUGAGGGGCUCUGCAGCCAGUUGUGGAAGACCUUCACAAACAUAGGAGCAGCAGGAACCUGCACUUCACAGGACAAAGGCUCACUAUAUUUAAGCGCCACUGAUGGCAAUGGUUGCAUGCCAUUGUUACUGUUGCACACUUGUUACUGUACACUUCGUGAAGGCUGUAUA